rnacentral:rRNA from 1 species
GGUCAAGCGAAUAAGCGCACACGGUGGAUGCCUAGGCGGUCAGAGGCGACGAAGGACGUGGUAGCCUGCGAAAAGUGUCGGGGAGCUGGCAACAAGCUUUGAUCCGGCAAUAUCCGAAUGGGGAAACCCACUGCUUCGGCAGUAUCUUGCAGUGAAUUCAUAGCUGCUUGAAGCGAACCCGGUGAACUGAAAUAUCUAAGUAACCGGAGGAAAAGAAAUCAACCGAGAUUCCCUGAGUAGUGACGAGCGAACGGGGAACAGCCCUUAAGCUGGAAUGGCUUUAGAAAAACAAUCUGGAAAGAUUGGCCAUAGAAGGUGAUAGCCCUGUAUUUAAAAGGGCCACUCCAGUGAAGACGAGUAGGGCGGGGCACGUGAAACCCUGUCUGAAUAUGGGGGGACCAUCCUCCAAGGCUAAAUACUCCUGACCGACCGAUAGUGAACCAGUACCGUGAGGGAAAGGCGAAAAGAACCCCGGAGAGGGGAGUGAAAUAGAUCCUGAAACCGUGUGCGUACAAGCAGUAGGAGCUCGAAAGAGUGACUGCGUACCUUUUGUAUAAUGGGUCAGCGACUUACUGUUCGUGGCAAGCUUAACCGUAUAGGGGAGGCGAAGGGAAACCGAGUCUGAUAAGGGCGCAUAGUCGCGGGCAGUAGACCCGAAACCGGGUGAUCUAGUCAUGGCCAGGGUGAAGGUGCCGUAACAGGUACUGGAGGCCCGAACCCACGUCUGUUGCAAAAGACGGGGAUGAGCUGUGAUUAGGAGUGAAAAGCUAAUCGAACCCGGAGAUAGCUGGUUCUCCUCGAAAGCUAUUUAGGUAGCGCCUCGGACGAAUACUACUGGGGGUAGAGCACUGUUAUGGCUAGGGGGUCAUCGCGACUUACCAAACCAUUGCAAACUCCGAAUACCAGUACGUACUAUCCGGGAGACACACGGCGGGUGCUAACGUCCGUCGUGAAAAGGGAAACAACCCAGACCCACAGCUAAGGUCCCAAAUUCACUGCUAAGUGGAAAACGAUGUGGAAAGGCAUAGACAGCCAGGAGGUUGGCUUAGAAGCAGCCACCCUUUAAAGAAAGCGUAAUAGCUCACUGGUCGAGUCGGUCUGCGCGGAAGAUUUAACGGGGCUAAGCAGUGAACCGAAGCUUGGGGUGCGUAAAACUUCGGUUUUAUGCGCGGUAGAGGAGCGUUCCGUAAGCCUGCGAAGGUGGAUUGAGAAGUCUGCUGGAGGUAUCGGAAGUGCGAAUGCUGACAUGAGUAACGAUAAUGCGGGUGAAAAGCCCGCACGCCGAAAGCCCAAGGUUUCCUUGCGCAACGUUAAUCGACGCAGGGUUAGUCGGUCCCUAAGGCGAGGGCGAAAGCCGUAGUCGAUGGGAAGCAGGUUAAUAUUCCUGCACCUCGCGUGAGUGCGAUGGAGGGACGGAGAAGGUUAGGUGUACCGGGCGUUGGUUGUCCCGGGGAAAGGCGGUAGGUUUGGAUCUUUGGCAAAUCCGGGAUCCUUUAAGACCGAGCACCGAGACGAGCCUUUAUGGCGAAGUCACUGAUACCACGCUUCCAGGAAAAGCUCCUAAGCUUCAGCUCACGAAGACCGUACCGUAAACCGACACAGGUGGGUAGGAUGAGAAUUCUCAGGCGCUUGAGAGAACUCGGGUGAAGGAACUAGGCAACAUGGCACCGUAACUUCGGGAGAAGGUGCACCCUUUUUGGUGGCUCAUGCGAGCUAUAGCUGAAGAGGGUCGCAGAAACCAGGCCGCUGCGACUGUUUAUCAAAAACACAGCACUCUGCAAACACGAAAGUGGACGUAUAGGGUGUGACGCCUGCCCGGUGCUGGAAGGUUAAUUGAUGGGGUCAGCCGCAAGGCGAAGCUCUUGAUCGAAGCCCCAGUAAACGGCGGCCGUAACUAUAACGGUCCUAAGGUAGCGAAAUUCCUUGUCGGGUAAGUUCCGACCUGCACGAAUGGCGUAACGACAGCGGCGCUGUCUCCACCCGAGACUCAGUGAAAUUGAAAUCGCUGUGAAGAUGCAGCGUUCCCGUGGCAAGACGGAAAGACCCCGUGAACCUUUACUAUAGCUUUACACUGAACGUUGAGUUCGUCUGUGUAGGAUAGGUGGGAGGCUAUGAAACUGUGGCGCUAGCUGCGGUGGAGCCAACCUUGAAAUACCACCCUGUCGUGCUUGACGUUCUAACCUAGAUCCGUUAUCCGGAUCAGGGACCGUGUAUGGUGGGUAGUUUGACUGGGGCGGUCUCCUCCUAAAGAGUAACGGAGGAGCACGAAGGUACGCUCAGCGCGGUCGGACAUCGCGCACUGUGUGCAAAGGCAUAAGCGUGCUUGACUGCAAGAUCGACGGAUCAAGCAGGUACGAAAGUAGGUCUUAGUGAUCCGGUGGUUCUGUAUGGAAGGGCCAUCGCUCAACGGAUAAAAGGUACUCCGGGGAUAACAGGCUGAUACCGCCCAAGAGUUCAUAUCGACGGCGGUGUUUGGCACCUCGAUGUCGGCUCAUCACAUCCUGGGGCUGUAGUCGGUCCCAAGGGUAUGGCUGUUCGCCAUUUAAAGUGGUACGCGAGCUGGGUUCAGAACGUCGUGAGACAGUUCGGUCCCUAUCUGCCAUGGGCGUUGGAAGUUUGAGAGGGGCUGCUCCUAGUACGAGAGGACCGGAGUGGACGAACCUCUGGUGUUCCGGUUGUCACGCCAGUGGCAUUGCCGGGUAGCUAUGUUCGGAAGCGAUAACCGCUGAAAGCAUCUAAGCGGGAAGCGCGCCUCAAGAUGAGACUUCCCGGGGCACAAGCCCCCUAAAGGAACCAUAUAGACUAUGUGGUUGAUAGGUCAGGUGUGUAAGUACAGCAAUGUAUUGAGCUAACUGAUACUAAUGAUCCGUGCGGCUUGACCAU